rnacentral:lncRNA from 1 species
UAGAAAUUCUAAAAUUAAAUUUUCCUCUUAGUCCUUUUUAAAAAUUCCCAGAUGAUUUGUUUAAUUUUAGAAUUUCUACGAGACAAAUAUAAAAGAGAAGCAUUAUUUUGUGGGAAAGGUAUUUCUUCUUGAACCAGAUUGUUCAUCAAAAAUUUAAUUGCAACAUCAUUAUGUUUGCAUCCAAACAACCAAUGAUUAAUAUCGUCAACAUAUCCAUUGCAAUCGCAAAGAUCUGAUUCGGAUAGGUUAAAUCUAUAGAGGUAUGACUUGACAGUGGCAUGAUUAAAGAGACAUCUAAUAAACAUGGCAUAUAUAUUUCUAUUGGGAUAACUUCUGAUAGCAAAAGGCUCAGUAGGUAAACUAGGAUGAAUUUUGGUGUAGAGAUUGUUGCUUCGAUUGCAGAAAGCGUGCCACUCAAUAUCCCAAUUUUGUUUCAAACUUUUCUUGCGAGUAGCUGUUAGAUCGCUUCUAUCUAGCCAAGUUAUUUCCGAUCCUUUUAAGAUUGCCUCUUUAGCAAAAAAAUCUGCUUUUAUGUUACCGGAAAUACCAAUAUGUCCUUUUACCCAGACGAAAGUUACAGAAGUCUGUUUUUCCAGUAGCUUUAGUUGGUUUUCUAAAAUUUUGACGACAAGGCUAUUUUUAUAUAAAUGUUUACGUGUGUUUUCUAGAGCUAAUAACGAAGAUCUUGAAUCUGACAUAAUUACAACUUGCUUGUUAGAAAUUUUUUUGUUGAUAGCCCAUUCUAGAGCUUGAUAAAUCGCGAACAUUUCUGCAGAGUAUAUGGAACAUUGUUUAUCUAACGUGAACAUCAAGGAUUCUUGGUGAUCCGGAAUAUAUACAGCACAUCCAACUCCCAAUCUUGAUUUUGAACCAUCCGUGAAAAUCCUGCAUGGA